CCUACGGGUGGCAGCAGUAAGGAAUAUUGGACAAUGGUGGCAACACUGAUCCAGCCAUGCCGCGUGAAGGAUGAAGGCGCUAUGCGUCGUAAACUUCUUUUGAACGGGAGAAACCCCUCGUACGUGUACGAGGCUGAUAGUACCGUUAGAAUAAGGGUCGGCUAACUUCGUGCCAGCAGCCGCGGUAAUACGAAGGACCCGAGCGUUAUCCGGAUUCAUUGGGGCGAAAGGGUACUGAGGCGGCAGGAUUGAAAUCCUGCAGCUUAACUGCAGAACUGCCAUUGAUACUGUCGUUCUUGAAUGCAACUGAUGUGGGCGGAAUGUGCCAUGUAGUGGUGAAAUACUUAGAUAUGGCACAGAACACCGAUUGCGAAGGCAGCUCACAAAAUUGUUAUUGACGCUGAUGCACGAAAGCGUGGGGAUCAAACAGGAUUAGAUACCCCAGUAGUC
rnacentral:rRNA from 1 species